rnacentral:lncRNA from 1 species
CCUCCCUCCCUCCCUCCCUCCCCGGCUUCCUUUCUUUGUAGCCACCUCAGGGGAAGCAACAGAUCGUCACUCGGUGUUCUCACCGAAAGCACGUAAUCGCCGGUGUAACUCAUGUUGGCUGGGGGGCCUCCCGGCGCGCGGCGAGGCUGGGGUGCGCCCCAUGCCGCUCGCCUGUGCUCAGCUGCACGGUCCUGGCCCUCAAGUGCGCCGAGGGCGGUGAGAGAGCUCAACUCCUGCCACCCAUCACUCCCCGGGUGAGGGAUGCCCCAGGCUGAGGGUGGCCGGGUGGGAGCUCGUCGCUGCGUGGCCGGUGCGCGGUCCUGGAAUCUGUUCUCCUGGAGGCUCGCGUUCGCACCUCCUUCUCUACCCCCCGCCCCCACAAGCUUGCUCUGGGAACCACCUCUGUCUCCGACUCCGGCCGGCCGGACCCCCUUCGGGGCCAGGGUUCACAGCCGUGGAUGUGCCUGCCUCGUGGCUUGCCUGAUUUGCACGGUGACUUGAUUACACGCUCGCAUUCAUGGUCACUUCCGAAGCGCUUUAGUGCCUUCCGUCCCUAAACCGCCAACAACCACGGCGGCUUCCCCCGCGGUUUUGUCAGGCAUCUGCAGGUCCCGGAAGGGGCUUCGUCUUACCCGGGAUCCACCUCCACUUCAUCCUCCCUGCCGGCCUCCUCACUCCACCCCCGUGCCCUUGAAGAAACCCCUUCCUCCUCGCUGCCUGCCGGGGUUCGGAGUCACUCCGCCUCGCAGCCAGAGGCGUGGGGGCUGCGCCGCUGUGCACGAGUCCGCCCGCCCGCCGGGUCUUCUGGAGCUGAGGACUCGGGAAACCAUGCAGUUGAAGCGAGCCUUGGGCUGCUUAGAGGCGCUGACAUCCGAGGAGCCUUUUCCUGGGUCUAAGCAGCCCUCGCAGGGCCGGGCCCUGUCGCUCCCCAAGCAGCGUUUGGAGAUGGCCACCCGGAGAGGAGAAGGCUGGCGCCCGCGCCUGCCUUGUCAAGCGGAAACGGCUAACGAGGCGAUUUGCUCAGCAAAGCAGACCAAGCCUUUGCAAAGCUCCAUUUGAUUUGGCCCUAAAUUGGGGGGGGGGGGGGGAUGAGGGGUUCGGCAGCACCUCCCGGAUCCUCCUUGCUCGGGCUGAGUGCGCUCUGGUGGGGAUGACUCCUGCAUCCUGCUCUCCACCCACCUUCCUGGGCAAGAUACUGGAAUAAAUUGUGUCCAGGUGCCUUUGCCCA